rnacentral:rRNA from 14 species
GCGUUUGGUGGAUGCCUUGGCAUCGAGAGGCGAUGAAGGACGUGAUACGCUGCGAAAAGCUUCGGGGAGCUGCGAAUGGGCUUUGAUCCGAAGAUAUCCGAAUGGGGAAACCCGGCCCUUUAGGGUCAUCGCUGGUUGAAUCUAUAGGCCAGCGAAGCGAACCCGGUGAACUGAAAUAUCUAAGUAGCCGGAGGAAAGGACAUCAACCGAGACUCCGUUAGUAGUGACGAGCGAACGCGGACCAGGCCAGUGGCACACAUGGAAGAACCGGAACCGUCUGGAAAGUCGGGCCAGAGUGGGUGAUAGCCCCGUACGGGUAGAAAGCAUUUUUGUCCUCGAGUAGGGCGGGACACG